GUUAUCCGGAAUUACUGGGCGGAAAGCGAGCGCAGGCUGGUUCUUAAGUCUGAUGUGAAAGCCCCCGGCUCAACCGGGGAGGGUCAUUGGAAACUGGGAGACUUGAGUGCAGAAGAGGAGAGUGGAAUUCCAUGUGUAGCGGUUAAAUGCGUAGAUAUAUGGAGGAACACCAGUGGCGAAGGCGGCUCUCUGGUCUGUAACUGACGCUGAGGCUCGAAAGCGUGGGGAGCA
rnacentral:rRNA from 1 species